GCCCCGCAGCGGCCGGGGGAGGAGCCGGGGCUGUGCGGGAGGAGUCGCAAGCGGCGGAGGCCGGGCGGGCUCGCGGCACAGCCAUGGCGUUCGGUAGGAGUCACCGGGACCCGUACGCGAGCUCCCUGGGCCAGCUAAUAGAGAAGGCUACGUUUGCUGGAGUGCAGACAGAAGACUGGGGCCAGUUCAUGCACAUCUGUGACAUAAUUAACACCACCCACGAUGGGCCAAAAGAUGCAGUAAAAGCUUUGAAGAAAAGGAUUUCCAAAAACUACAAUCACAAAGAAAUCCAACUCACCUUGUCACUUAUUGACAUGUGCAUGCAGAACUGUGGUCCGAGUUUCCAGUCUCUGAUUGUGAAGAAGGAAUUUGUUAAAGAUAGUCUAGUUAAGCUGCUGAAUCCCAGAUACACCUUGCCGAUAGACACUCAGAAUAGAAUUUUGAAUUUCAUUAAGACGUGGUCGCAGGGUUUCCCAGGAGGUGUGGAUGUCAGUGAAGUGAAAGACGUGUACCUGGACCUCCUUAAGAAAGGGGUUCAGUUUCCUUCAUCAGAUGCAGAGACUGAAACAGCCAGACAAGAGAUGGCACUGAAUCCACCACCAUCUGUUCCUUCUGCACCAGCUCUUCCUUCUGUGGUUCCCAAGAUCUCCACUAUUACACUGGUCCCAGAACAGAUUGGAAAACUGCACAGUGAAUUGGAUAUGGUGAAAAUGAAUGUGAGAGUGAUGUCUGCCAUACUGAUGGAGAAUAUUCCUGGUUCUGAGAACCAUGAAGACAUAGAGCUUCUGCAGAAACUUUACAAGACGGGUCGGGAGAUGCAGGAGAGGAUCAUGGACCUGCUUGUGGUGGUGGAGAAUGAAGACGUUACUGCUGAGCUGAUUCAAGUGAACGAGGAUUUGAACAAUGCCAUCCUUGGGUGUGAGAGGUUUACUCGAAACCAACAAAGGAUUUUGGAGCAAAAUAAGAACCAGAGGGAAGAUGCCAAUACUACCAGUGAACCUUCCGCCCCAUCCUCAGAUCUCCUUGACCUGAGUCCCAGCCUUCCAAUGCCUAGGACCACCCUGGGAGAAGUCAGCACCCUGAAUGCUCAGCUUUCAGACUUAAAUUUCAGCUCUCUGAGUCCAGCUGUACCAAACAACUUCAAACCCAGUCUUAAUACACAGGUGGAUCUGCUAGCCUUGGAAAAUACAGAAACACCCCUGUUUGCCCAAAGGACCAGCCAAAACCUCGCCUCAAGUCAUACAUACGAGAGUUUUCUGGAACAUUCAAAUUCAGUAUUACUGCAGCCAGUUAGCCUACAGACCGUUCCAGCAACACCAUCAAACCAGAGACUGCCACCUCUGCCCAGCAAUCAUCCAGCGAUGACAAAGAAUGACCUCCAGCCACCCAGUUACUGUGAAGUAAUGGAGUUUGACCCCUUAGCUCCUGCCGUCACCACAGAAGCUAUUUAUGAAGACAUUGAUGUUCACCCACCACAAAGGAGCUCAAAGUCACAGUGAUUGUUGAGGUGGAAACGGAUGACCAGUUCACUGGCAGCGUUAUGGGUGCCAAUUUUCCAAAAGGGGGACCCUGUCCAGCUUUUAGACCCAGAAGUUAAGACCUUCCCAAACCUCAAAACCACAGUGGAACAUUUUUCCUCUGCAUUAACGUGGUUUAGACAGAAGAGUCACAGUUCCAGAGUAACAUAUAUGGUUUCUGACAGCAGCUUGAGCUUUCUAUCAGAAGAACUUGGUUGUGACAUAUAGUCCCUUAAAACUGAGGCAGAACAAAAGUUCAUGGUACUUAGGCCAACCAGGUUAAGUGCAGCACCUUGUGUUUUCACAGGCCUUCUUACAUUUAGAAUCAUCACAGGAGAUGGGGCAAGAGUGGAUGAAGACUGUUUCAGGACAAAAUAAUUGUUAGUACCCUCAAGAGGUCACUGGAUUCUACAUUGGUUGCCUUUAAAUACAAUUCUUUGUAACACUAAAUGGUCGUUUUUGUCUUUUUGGAAGAAAGUCUACUGGAAAACAUUCAGGAUAAUUUGUACUUUCCUUUGUCAUAAAUUAUAAUAACAAAUGAACUACUAUUAAAACAGUUCAAGAACUUUUUUUUUUUU